CGGUAUGUAGCGCAGCCUGGUAGCGCACUGUCAUGGGGUGGCAGGGGUCGAGAGUUCGAAUCUCUCCAUACCGACCA
rnacentral:tRNA from 17 species